GACGUAGGUGGCGAACGUUAUCCGGAAUUAUUGGGCGUAAAGGAUGCGUAGAUGGUGUAGUAAGUUAUCGGUGGCAAAUCGAGGCUCAACCUCGUGGAAGUCGGUAAUACUGCUAUGCUAGAGGAUAGGAGAGGUUAACGGAACUCCCUGUGGAGCGGUGAAAUGCGUUGAUAUCAGAAGGAACGCCGGCGGCGGAAGCGGCGCACUGGAUCUUUUCUGACGCUGAGGCGCGAAAGCCAGGGGAGCAAACGGG
rnacentral:rRNA from 1 species